AUUGUCUUUCUCAUACACAGAUGUAUUGCUUGGUAAAAGAUUGGCCUCCAAUCAAACCUGAACAGGCUAUGGAACUUCUGGACUGUAAUUACCCAGAUCCUAUGGUUCGAGGUUUUGCUGUUCGGUGCUUGGAAAAAUAUUUAACAGAUGACAAACUUUCUCAGUAUUUAAUUCAGCUAGUACAGGUCCUAAAAUAUGAACAAUAUUUGGAUAACUUGCUUGUGAGAUUUUUACUUAAGAAAGCAUUGACUAAUCAAAGGAUUGGGCACUUUUUCUUUUGGCAUUUAAAAUCUGAGAUGCACAAUAAAACAGUUAGCCAGAGGUUUGGCUUGCUUUUGGAGUCCUAUUGUCGUGCAUGUGGGAUGUAUUUGAAGCACCUGAAUAGGCAAGUCGAGGCAAUGGAAAAGCUCAUUAACUUAACUGACAUUCUCAAACAGGAGAAGAAGGAUGAAACACAAAAGGUACAGAUGAAGUUUUUAGUUGAGCAAAUGAGGCGACCAGAUUUCAUGGAUGCUCUACAGGGCUUUCUGUCUCCUCUAAACCCUGCUCAUCAACUAGGAAACCUCAGGCUUGAAGAGUGUCGAAUUAUGUCCUCUGCAAAAAGGCCACUGUGGUUGAAUUGGGAGAACCCAGACAUCAUGUCAGAGUUACUGUUUCAGAACAAUGAGAUCAUCUUUAAAAAUGGGGAUGAUUUACGGCAAGAUAUGCUAACACUUCAAAUUAUUCGUAUUAUGGAAAAUAUCUGG
rnacentral:sRNA from 1 species